rnacentral:misc_RNA from 1 species
UACGAGGACCCCAAGCGUUAUCCGGAAUUACUGGGCGUAAAGAGCGAGUAGCCGGUUGUAUUAGUCUGAUGUUAAAUCCUAUUGCUUAACGAUAGGGCCGCAUCAGAAACGGUACGACUGGAGCAGGUGAGAGGCAUGCGGAACGUGCGGUGUAGGGGUGAAAUCCAUUGAUAUCGCACGGAACACCAAAAGCGAAAGCAGCAUGCUAGCGCUUUGCUGACGGUCAAUCGCGAAAGCGUGGGGAUCAAAAAGG